GGAGGGAGAGGCUGGGCCGUGUGAGCUGCUUCCCCUCACCUCACAUCAUCUGGGCAGACUUAUGGUGGCGUUGCUGUUUUGUGUACCAACUGUGC